UCUCUGUCUCUGUCUCUGUCUCUGUCUCUCUCCCAUGUUUGAUUCAUUAGAAAGUUCUGAUUUUACCUUCAUAAACUCUCUCCCAUAUGUUCCCUUCUCUUCUCUGACGCUGCUACUGCUCUAGUACAGGCCCUUGAUACCUCCAGCCUGGAGUAUUGCAACACCCUUAGAGUUGGUCUCCCUGCCUCCAGUCUCCCCUGACCCAGUCUGCCCUUCACUCACCUAUCAAACUGAUUUUCCUAAAGCACCAGUCUGGCCACAUCUGUCCCCUACUCAAUAAGCUCAAGGGGGCGCCAGGAUCAAAUGUAAAGUCCUAUCUGGCUUCUGAGCUCCUUUGGAUCUGCCCUUUUCUAUCUUUCUAGCCUUCAACCUCCCUGAUGUUGCUCACACAUGCUGUCUCCCAGCUUUGAAUGUCUUUACGGACCCCCCCCCAAGCCUGGAACACCCUCCCUCUUCAUCUCUGGCACCCAGCUUCUUUCAAGUCCCAGCUACAAUCUCCCCUUCUACAAGAAACCUUUCCUGAUUCCUGUCAUGCCAGGGCCUUCCCUUGGAGUUUAUCUCCAAUUUAGCUCCUCCAGAGCUCACCAGUACAUAGCUGUUGGCAUAUUAUCUCCCCUACCCUUGGACUGGGAGCUCCUUGAGAGCAGAGAUUAUCUUUUGCCUUUCUUUGGAUCCCCAGGCACAUACUUGAUAAACGCUCUUUGACUGACUAAUCACCAUCUGUAAAAUCAAGUUAAACUAGAAGGUCUUUUAAUGUCCCUUUCAGAUCCAAACCUAUUAUUUUAUGACUUAUACUAUCACACUUCCAGAGGUGUUGAAAGGCUUAAAUGAGAAUUGCAGGAAACACUUUCUGAGAAUAGAACCACGCUUUUUAAUUACAGAUUCCUAAAUCCAGCAUUCUUCAGUUUAUUCUAGAAUUCACUGGUUGGGGCAGGGUGGCACAGGAAGUGAUUGACUCCUGUGGUCUGUACCCAGGCCCUGGCCUUCAUCUGCCCAUCUGGAGGAACUGCAACUUCUGCCCUCGGGAUAGUAAGUUUUCUGAGGGAGGAUGCUUUCAACCUGGAUGACUUUGGAAGCAAGUCAUCUAACCUCCAUGGACCUGGACUUCUUCUUUGGCACCGGGAGGAGAUUGGAUCAGUGGCCUCUUGGGAACCUUCAAGCAAGGAUAUCAUAAACUGUGAGAGGCUUUGGCAAAUGCCUGGCUGAAAUCCAGCAUGCUAUAUGAGCAGAGAGUACAUCCCAUCACACAGAGGGCCCCACUGGGAUGGUUGUGGCGCAGACCUCCCUCCUGAGGAUCAGUGAGAAGAAGAAACCUGAUUAACGAAAGCUAAUCGAGGAUAAAGAAACGUAUUGGAAGUGGGUACAGAGAAAGGAGUCAGGGGAAGAGAGAAGGGCCAGGGGAAGAGUUGAACAAGGGAGAACCAGGCUCUCUCUAGCUCCAGACAAUCAGCUUUAUGAAUCACCAAGUAAAUCUUCAACCUUCAAAAGGGCAGCCAGCUCCUUGGGAUCUCAAUGCGUAGAUAGAAGAGGGAGAUGCCUGAAGUCCAAGAAUGAAGAAUUUGAAAGGGAAAUGUCUUCUCUUGCAUCCAGUACAGCCUCACUGCCAGACUCCUCCAGGAUCCCAUAUGGGAAGCCCAGUGUGUCCUCUAUACCUCCUAUGAUUUUGCCCAGCUUAUUUUUAAACAGGCCAAGGGAGACAGCUUCCAAAACCUCACAUGGGCCCUCAGUCUCCAUUUAAAGCAUCAGUGAAGUCCCCAGAUAGUGUGUCCCAAUAUACUCUGCAUUUUGUUUCAUCCUAGUCCUCCCAGGUGUGGUAUCAGACUGGAGAAUUUCUCUUCUUCCUCUGAAUGUUUGCCAGAUGGCAAAGCAUGGAUUUAGCAUGGGGGUAGGGGAACAAGAGGAUGGGGUUGGAACAGAGAUUAAAGGGAGAGAAGGAAAUUAACUGUGGAGGAAAAGGUUUACGUGCACCCUAAAAUAAACCAAAAAAAGGACCACAUUUAAUCCCAUUACUCUCCCACUUCUGACGGCCAUUGGUUUUAAUAUGAACCCCCCUCCCUUGUACAUCCCCUGUUUCUGCCCCAGAUUUUUAUUCUUCCCAGCUUCAGCUGGCAGUGAGAAGAUUUGCCAAGAUGUUCCUGGCUGGACCACCAAUUUUAGCAGAGGUUGAAUGAGCCUUCUCAGUCACCUUCAACAUUAUCCAUACCACUUAAUUACAAUUUGUGUGGUACAGAUAUUGUACCCAUUUUACAGAUUAGGAAACUGACAUAGAAUAGCUAAGUGACUUGUCUAUAAUCACACAAGUAAUUAUUGACAGAACUAUUGUACAAUGCAUAGGCAGCUAGGUGAUUCAGUGGACAGAGAGCUGGGCCUGGAAUC